rnacentral:rRNA from 1 species
UACAUGGGGUGCAAACGUUGCUCGGAAUUACUGGGCGUAAAGGGCGCGUAGGCGGCCUGUUAAGUCGAACGUGAAAUCCCCGGGCUCAACCCGGGAACUGCGUCCGAUACUGGCAGGCUUGAAUCCGGGAGAGGGAUGUGGAAUUCCAGGUGUAGCGGUGAAAUGCGUAGAUAUCUGGAGGAACACCGGUGGCGAAGGCGGCAUCCUGGACCGGUAUUGACGCUGAGGCGCGAAAGCCAGGGGAGCAAACGGG